GAUAUUUUUCGGGUUAGUGUUGCACCCCAAGCAGCCGUUACACCUCCUACUCCUGUUCCUCCUCCUGAUGAUAUUUUUCAGCCUUACCUUUCACCUCAAGCAGCCAGUACACCUGCUUCUCCUACUCCUGCUUCUGGUGAAUCUUUCCAGCUUCCCUUAGCACCCCGAGGAACCAGUACACCUCGUGGUCCUGCUCCGGAUGGUGAGUCUGCUUUUCAAGCAUUUGAGUCACUUGGAUAUGAGUUCAGAGCCAGCAUCGCUCGUCAUGCUGCACAGGUUCUGCAGGCAACUAUCACAAUUGUCAAGUGCAAAAAUAAUGGAGCAAUAUAACUAGUUGUAACAGAAAUGCUCUGAGACAUUUUUCAGAAGAGAAAGGUAGUGGUG